AUGCUUACCUGGCAGGGGAGAUACCCUGAUCACGAAGGGGGUUCUCCCAGGGUGAGGCUCAGCCAUUGCACUCCGGCUGUGCUGACCCCUGCGAUUUCCCCAGAUGUGGGAAACUCAACUGCAUAAUUUCUGGUAGUGGGGGACUGCGUUCAAGCUGAGUGUUUACUUCUC